rnacentral:lncRNA from 1 species
UUGGCUUUCCACCGUAAGGAAAACUGCCCAGUCUCCCCUCUGGCUACCAGUGAAGGCUUGUGGGGUUUUCUUUGAUUCGUCACUCCUAGUCCUGCCCGGCCCUGCAGGCUCCUCCUUGUGUCCGUCAUUCCGUAUCUGUACCUCCUUCUACAAGAGAGCCCUAACUUCUAACAGCAUCACUAUGUCUAUCAUCUAUUUAGCCCUCCAAACACACAAGACACUUCCAGAAUCUUCUUAUUCUCCAGAGGAAAAUGUUUCAUCAAAACACCAGAGGCAGCCAGCAUUUUGACAAGAAAACACAACAAACUUCAUUUCUUUGGAAAUUUGAUCUAGGAAAAUGUGUCUCUCUCAUUUUGCUAAUGGAUGUCUGUUUAUCAGUCAGAGACCAUGAAACGACUCCUUAUUUUGAAUAUCAGAUUUUCUUCUUAUUCUCAAACCUCAAAACAGCUUGGUAAUAAUUUAUUUGGAAAUUAUCCGAAAGGUAAAAAUAAAAACAGAAGCAAGUAAUAUGCCUUGUUACUGCUCCUUAAUUAGGUAAGAGCCUCAUUUCUUGGGCUGCUGGGAUGUAAAUUCUGCAUAAAAUGGCUGGCUUUCUUUUUAAGGCUUUGCAGCAGUGUUAACAUUCGGCUGCCAACUAAGUCGAUUUUAAUCGCCUUUACAGGAACCUUCACUUUUUCUGUUUGUUCCAUUCCACUCUUUCCUCAGUGGAUAAUCCCGCAUGUUAAGAUUCCUGUGCAGCCGAGGGAGGCGGCUUUUGGCCGGGAGCUUGUGCUCUGGGUGUGAGCGUGGCUGUUGGGAACGCCUUCUGCUCAGAAUUCCGUGGUCUCAGCAGAUCGUUCAGUCUAGCCACUGGGACGGGGCCGACCGCACACUGCUGGACCUCUGAGCGGAAGAUGUGUGAGGUUAGGAGGGAAGGAAUAAACAAAGUCGCCUUCUUCCCUGCUGACCUGCCUUGGUAACAGAGUCCCAAGAUUCCAAGUUCCAGGAGCAUGAAAGGACUCACUUGUGGAGAUUCCUGCCUGGGGCUCCCACCCACCUAAGGAAUGCCAUCCUUGUCACCGGCUCACGGGGCAGCUCUUUGGUAUCCUUCCAGGGUGGUGUGUACAAGUACAGGCACAUGGAUGCAUGGAUGCAUGAGCAUUUUUUUCUUUUGCCGACAUAUUAAUACACCCGGCAGCACUCUAGGCCCAUUGGCCUGCAACUUUUCAUUUGAUUGAUUUUUAAUUAUUUACUUUUUUAAAAAAUUGUAGUUAAAUAUACAUGACAUAUAUUUACCAUUUGAGUCUUUUUUUUUUUUUUGAGAUGGAGUCUUGCUCUAUCUCCCAGGCUGGAGUGCAGUGGUGUGAUCUCGGCUCACUGCAACCUCCACAGCCUGAUCCUGGGUUCAAGGGAUUCUCCUGCCUCAGCCUCCCGAGUAGUUGGGAUUACAGGCGCCUGCCACCAUGCCUGGAUAAUUUUUUUUUCUUUUGAGACGGAGUCUUGCUCUGUCACCCAGGCUGGAGUGCAGUGGUGCAAUCUCAGCUCACUGCAAGCUCCGCCUCCCAGGUUCACGCCAUUCUCCUGCCUCAGCCUCCCGAAUAGCUGCGACUACAGGUGCCCGCCACCACACCGGCUAAUUUUUUGUAUUUUUAGUAGAGACAGGGUUUCACCGUGUUAGCCAGGAUGGUCUCGAUCUCCUGACCUCGUGAUCAGCCUGCCUCGGCCUCCCAAAGUGCUGGGAUUAAAGGCAUGAGCCACUGUGCCCGGCCUAAUUUUUGUAUUUCUGUAGAGACAGGAUUUCACCAUGUUGGCUAGGCUGGUCUCAAACUCUUGACCUCAGGUGAUCUGCCCUCCUCGCCCUCCCAAAGUGUUGGGAUUACAGGUGUGAGCCACAGCACCCAGACCAUUUUUAAGUGCACAGUUCAGUGGUAUUACAUACAUUCACAGUGUUGUAUAAUCGUCACCACCAUCCAUCUUCAGAACUUUAUGCAUCUUGCAAAACUAAAACCUGCCCCCAUUAAACAGCAGCCCCCCUCAUCCCCUGCCCCCAACCCCUGGCAACCCCUAUUCUACUGUCCGUGCCUAUGAACCUCACUACUCUAUGCACCUCACAUACGUGGAACCACAUGGUAUCUGCCCUUUCGUCGCUGGCGUCUCUUAGCAUAACGUCCUCAAGGUUCAUCGGUGUUGGGGCACGUGUCGGGAUUUUAUGGUGUGUGAAUGACGUCUCAGUUUAAAAUGUUCUAGAGUUACCCAGUGGUGAUGGAUACACAACUCUGAAUAUGCCAACAACUUCUGACUGGUACACUUUGAGUGGGUGAUUGUAUGGUCUUUGAAUUGUGUCAAUAAAGCUGUCAUUUAAAAUAAAAUACCAAUCCGUGCUGGCACAGAGA